AACAAGUGAUGACAGCAGUUUCGGUCCCAUAUGAAUGCCAUUGAUUACUUUUCAAUGAGAUCAUCUGAUGUU